CUUCUACAUCAACAUCUAUCACAUCAGAGUCUCCUAACAAGUUAAAAGGUUUAUAUCUGAUCAUCUCUCUGGUUCUGGUUCUUCUGGUUCUGAUCAUCGUUGGUGUCUUGUUACUGGUUCUUUAUAAGAAGCAUCAGUCUCGAGCAGGCAGUGAUUCAUCAUCUCAGACUGGAGCAGAAAAACAUGAAGUGGUUUCAAACACUGGUUGUGAUUAUGAAGAGAUUAAAGACACUCACAAACAGUUACCCACAAUCCCCUCUGUUUCUCCUGACUGUGUUUAUGCCACAGCUCAGUUACCCACAAUCCCCUCUGUUUCUCCUGACUGUGUUUAUGCUACAGUUCUUAAAGACACUGAUGACUCUCAGAUCUUCAUCACAUCUGCUGAGGAUCUGAAUUACUCCGUGGUGAAUUUCCAGAAGAAUCCGAACUGUCCUGAAAGUGUCAGAUUGAGGAAUAAUCAGGAUUACAGUGAAUACGCUGCUGUCAA